GCGCCUGUGGUUUAGUGGUAAAAUCCAUCGUUGCCAUUAGCAGUUCUUAAUCAAAAGAUACGUUAACCAACAUCGAUGGGCCCCGGAUUCGAUUUCCGGCGGGCGCA